ensembl:snRNA U6 U6 spliceosomal RNA
GUGCCACGGUGGCACAUAUACUAAAAUUGGAUCGAUACAGAGAAGAUUAGCAUGCCCCCUGUGAAAGGAUGACACGCAAAUCCGUGAACCGCUCCAUCUCUAU